GAUAUUAUCGUUAAUAUUUUCAAUACAACCAUAGGUAAGUUCAUCGACUCACAAGUUCUCAAUUAUAGGCCUAAACGAAGCCACAUGAACACUUUCACUAACACAAAUAGCUUCGCUGCACUAAGCGAUAAUACCCAACAAGUUGAUUGCAAUCCCAAAGUGCUGAACAAUCACAAAACAAUUGAACAAGAUAAUAUGACAUCAUGUGCUGACGUCACCACCUUGACCCGUAAUACCCCUAGUGAACCCCCUACAUUGACCCCCCACGUCACCUAAAAAAUAAUAGGGGUUACCAAACAGCCAAGUAAGUAUACAGCCACUCAUUUGCUGGCAAAUAUUACGUUCGAAGACCAAAUUACCCCUACUUUUAAUCUUUCACACCCCAACGUUAAUAGAGUAGACGACGUGGACUCCCCCAUGUCCACUAAUACAGCACCCCUUGACAUUCCAAAGAUAGAAAACAUCUUUUCCAAAAAUAAUAGCACUACUGCUCCUACAAACUACAUAGUAUAGAAAGUGGAUGCAUAAAUUCAAUAUUUACCUUUUCGGAUACCUUAAAUAUCCCAGCUGGUAUUGAUACAUCCAACUCACAUUCUUCCUUCUCCUUAAAUACAAAACCCCAUACUAAGGAAACAUGCCUCGAUAAUCAUUUCUCUUCACCAACCGACGCCCAUCGAGAUGAAACCCCUUUCCAACCCCUUCUCAGAGGAACGGACCAUCACUCUCCUCCCAGAGUCCACUACCAUAGAUCGACCCACCACCCCUCGACUGAUAGGCGAUACUCUAGUGUAUGCGACAGCUCCUCUUCCGGGGAACUUCGCUCCGAUAUCGUGGAUGGAGAUGGCUGCAUAGGGAUUUGCACUAACUCUAAGUAUACUGUUGGAGGGCAGAAAAGUUUAUGUGAUAGUGCAAAACCCAUCUUAUCUUGCCCGAGUAGAAACCGAAAUGAUGAGAGCCACAACGGAAAAUCAUUACAACCAUAUGUGGUUGUCAACCACUCUCCAAGCUCCAAUGAACUACCAAAUGCCUCAGCUACCUUUUUAUCACCCGAUGGGAUGUGAGAUAUCACUAAUAAACCCACUAGGACCGCAACUCCCAUUCCCGACAUUCCCAGUUACGCCAACACAACUGGAAGUGCUAAUGAAUCAGUCGAACCUACAAUAUCAACUGACGGGGCCUCUAUCAUUCCAACCCAUAGCUGAUAUGCUCAACCGGGGAAGAGCUCUAACAGAUCAGCUCACUUCAACUUUGCGUCUCCGAACCAGGUACAACUCAUCCCGAGAAUGCCUCCCCCAACUGUCUCGAAUCUUCAGGAGAACAUAAAUUUACAAGAGGUAGAGGACGCUCUAGAAUUAAUGCGAGAGACGAGAAUGGAGAUUCACAUCUUAAAAGAAAUAAAAGUGCCUAGUGUUCAAGAAGCGAUUCGUAAAAAAAGCCAUACUUAUUUGUCCACCCUUUCUACGGAAAACCUCCUUAGAUAUAAGAAUUCCAUCGACUCCAGAGAUAGGGAACUUUGUUGUAGUAAUGAACCCCACUCUAAUGGAGAUGGAACCAUCUCAGGAGAAGGGGAGCCCCAACAAAAUUCCACAAACCAUGAACAGAUCCAUGGAUAUUAUCAUAUGGAACUGUAGGGGUUUCAAUGGCUCUGAGUUUAGAAGAAACUUCAGAGCAAUAAUUGAUUGGCAUAAACCACCCUUAGUGGCCCUUCUUGAAACUAAAAUGCAAAACCAUCAAGUGCUUCUUAAUAUCUUUCCCUUCAAUAAGAUGACAGAAGUUCCGGCUAUUAGGAACUUUGAGGGCAUUGCGGUUCUCUGGGAUGAUAACUUUCUGGAACUGGACAAUAUUGCUACCCAAUGAACAGAAAAUCCAUGCAAUAGUGAAGGGAAUUACUCCACAGGCUGGGGGGACCCGCCCAUUCAACAUAGCUAUCAGGAAGCAAACCAAGCAGCAGACGACCUAGCAAGAAGAGGAGCGCUAUCUACUAACUAUAACUAUAUCAAUGAAUAGAGCAUUCCACCAUCUUUCAUGGAGCAGUUUUUGGAAGCAGAUAGGAAGGGAACAACUUUUGUUUGACUUAAGCGCACAAACCCCCUAACCUUUAGCAAUAGUACUGCGGAUCCUAGUCUUAGUUUUGGUACUAUUCUGGAUAACACAGACCUGUUGAAUUGUAAUAAUACUACUAGCUGCUUUAAUUGCUAUUGUUUCUUGUUGUAA